rnacentral:rRNA from 1 species
UACGUAGGUGGCAAGCGUUAUCCGGAAUUACUGGGCGUAAAGCGCACGCAGGCGGUCUUGUAAGUUUGACGUGAAAGCUCCCGGCUUAACUGGGAGAGGUCGUUGAAGACUGCAAGACUUGAGGAAAUGAGAGGGGUGUAGAAUUCCCGGUGUAGUGGUGGAAUGCGUAGAUAUCGGGGGGAACACCAGUGGCGAAGGCGGUUGCCUGGAGCUUUGCUGACGCUGAUGCGCGAAAGCGUGGGGAGCGAUCCGG